UACACUAGAUUCUCCAUCAUUCCUCUGCCUCACAGCAGUCCCAGAAGAGGAAGGCUGCAGGCCCAGUUCCCGGAGCACUGCCAUCACCCUACCCCAGCUUACAGAAGAGCUCAGGGGUGGCUGGAGCACGGAGGGAGAUGGAGUGGCAAGGCAGUGAAUGACAUGCGUGAUGUUGGGGCUGUUGCAACAUGG
ensembl:lncRNA novel transcript, antisense to NFE2L1